rnacentral:miRNA from 1 species
UGCUUUCUCCAUCGGUUGUCAUG